UGAACGCUAGCGGCAGGCUUAACACAUGCAAGUCGAGGGGUAUAUUUCUUCGGAGAUAGAGACCGGCGCACGGGUGCGUAACGCGUAUGCAAUCUGCCUUUCACAGAGGGAUAGCCCAGAGAAAUUUGGAUUAAUACCUCAUAGUAUUAUAGGAUGGCAUCAUUUUAUAAUUAAAGUCACAACGGUGAAAGAUGAGCAUGCGUCCCAUUAGCUAGUUGGUAAGGUAACGGCUUACCAAGGCAACGAUGGGUAGGGGUCCUGAGAGGGAGAUCCCCCACACUGGUACUGAGACACGGACCAGACUCCUACGGGAGGCAGCAGUGAGGAAUAUUGGACAAUGGGCGCAAGCCUGAUCCAGCCAUGCCGCGUGCAGGAUGACGGUCCUAUGGAUUGUAAACUGCUUUUGUACGAGAAGAAACACUGAUUCGUGAAUCAGCUUGACGGUAUCGUAAGAAUAAGGAUCGGCUAACUCCGUG
rnacentral:rRNA from 1 species